UAAAUGUCAUAAUCAUUCUUGAAUUACUCUUGUCAAUUUUCAAUUUGUUAAUUUUCUUUAGAUUCCUGUCAUUUCCAAUUUCACUUUGUUAACCUGAAUUUCAUUCUAUAAAUCUUUGUUAAUUUCUUUUCAAUCAAUUAUAUCUUUGUCUUGUUCAUAAUAACUCUGUAUUGAAUCAAUUCAAUCAAACCAAAAUUCUAUGUUAAACAAUCAUGUUAAUCCUAAUUUAAUACCAUUGUGGUAAUUCUUUCUAUACAAAAUUGAAACUCUUAGUUUCUUCACAUGGUAUCAGUUUAAGUGUUAUCCUGGUGAUUAGCUUACAUUUAUCUGCUUAAGUUUUAUUUUGUAUCCACCAUUGAAUCCUUCACAUCCUGAAAAUAAAUAAAAAAACAGAAAAGGAGUCAGAAACAAUUGAGAAGAUGGCAACACAACAACAAAUAACAUGCAAUGGAAACAGAUAUUACAACAUUUUCAGUAUGGUGCCAGAUAAACUUGAAGGUAAAAAUUAUUUAUGCUGGAGAAACUAGUUCGAAUGUGCUCUUAGGGGGCAUAAGUUUAUGAAGUACGUAACUGGAAUUGAGACUUGCCCAACCCCAAAAAUAGGCGAAGAUGAAGCAAAUCCAGAAUAUGAGAAGUGGAUGAUGGACAAUGAUAUGGUAUUAGGGUGGAUUAAAGCAACUGUAGCAAGUCAAUACCAAUUAAUGCUUCUGAAGUGUAAAACUACCUAUGAGAGAUGGAAUCAAUUAGAGAAGAUAUUUUCUCCAAUAAGCAACACACAAGUAUCAGUUCUGAAGGAACAGCUCAGAACUCUAAAGAAACUUGGUACAGAGGGAAUGCAAGAUAUCUAGUGAGGGUUAAAGGAUUGGUUGAUUCACUUGCUUCAACUGGAGAGAACUUAAGUGAACAUACGUUGGUGGACUAUAUUUUUGGAGGCUUAGGGUCAGAAUACCGGUGUGUAUUUACAAAUGUGAAAGGAAUGAAAAAUAUAAAUUUUGAAGAGCUCACUGAAUUACUGCUGAAUGAAGAACAGAUAAACAAAAGGUUGAAUAAUGAAAGUGAAGUGGCUUUAGUGUCAUAUAGAGGAAACUAUGGUAGAGGGAGACCAUUUCAGAAUCCACAGCCUUAUAGACCUAAUUUUUCACAAAAUCGAAAUUUUACUCAAUAUCCACCUCAAAAUUACUAAAAUCAAUAUCCUCUCGAUAAUUCAGGUUAUUUUUCUCAACAACAAUACCAACCAAGACCCAACUACUGGCAGAACAGUUACGUUAGAGGAGGAUAAUACACCAACAAUCAGAAUAUGUUUCCUCAACAACCAACAUACCAAUAUCCAUCACCACUAACAAAUAUGAAUACACCACCACCUGCAUACACUUCAUAUAAUACAUAUAGAGGGCCUGUUUCCAGACCAUCACCACCACUACAAAUACCACCAACCAUUAUUACACCAUCAUCUCUAGAUCAGACACAAAGCUGCCAACUAUGUGAUAAAAUGGGACACCUAGCAAAACAGUGCACAGAAAGAUCAAAUUUCACUGCCUAGACCACAACAACUACAGAAACAACACCACUGAUCCAGAAUUAUCCACCAACACAGCCGAUUAUUCAGGAAUCGGCCACAGAACAUGCAAUGUUAGCCAACACCUACUCAGAUUCAGCUUGGUGAUUAGACUCUGGAGCAUCAAGUCAUAUGACACCAGAUCUAAGAGCUUUCUCAUCCUAUGAAACUUUCACAGGUACUCAAUUUGUCAUAGUAGGAAGUGGCCAAAAAUUACAAGUAACACAUAAAGGUAGUGUAAUUUUAAAAUUUGAUGGAAAUGAAUUUAUGAUACAAGGGGUGUUAUGUGUUCCACUGAAAAAGAACUUACUAUCAAUUCAGAAAUUAUCUAAAGAUCUGAAUUGUAAAAUUGAGUUUGAUCAUGAUUUUUUUUGUGUUAAGGACCCAAUUACGAUGGAGAUGUGGUUUACUGGGCAUAGCCAAUUAAGGUGGUUUGUACCAUAUAUACCCUGAUUCAGAAGCAAAUUAUGGAAUGAGAGCCACUGAAGAGGAUUGGCACAACAGGAUGGGUCAUCCACGUGAAAGUGUGAUGCAGAAACAUAAAACAGAAUUACUAAUUGAUAGAAAGAAAAGAGAUGAUACAUUUUGUGCAAUAUGUGCACAAGGGAAAGCACACCAACUACCUUAUAAACGAAGCAUACAUACAAGCAAAAUACCUCUAGAAAUGCUACAUAUAGAUCUAUGGGGACCCUCUCUCAUUGUUUCAGUACGCAAUUAUAAGUACUAUAUAUCAAUUGUAGAUGAUUUUAGUAGGUUUAGCUGGUUUUUUCCAAUUUCAACCAAGUCUGAGUUUGUAAACAUUUUUCUGAAAUUUCAAAUAAAAAUUGAGAAAUUUUUGGGGUUAAAAAUUAAAGGAGCGCAAACUAACCAAGGAGGUGAAUUUAUGAAUACAAGGUUAAAAUCACAUUUUGAAAAGGAAAGAAUUAGCCACAGGGUUUCAUGUGCAUACACACCUCAACAGAAUGGACUAGUUGGGAGGAGGCACAGGCAAAUUGCUGAAAUUGGAAGAUGUUUUUUUAUCAAGUCAGGAAUACCCCACUACUACUGACCAGAAGUGUUUUCAUCUACAGUAUUUGUGAUUAACAGGUUGAAAACCCAGGUAUUAGAAGAUAAAAGUCCUUUUGACGUGAUAAUGAAAAAAUUGCCAGAUUUGGCAAUUCUGAGAACAAUAGGGUGUGCAUGUUAUCCAUUAAUUCAGAAACAUGAGAGAAAUAAAUUUAUGGAAAAAUCAAAAGAGUGUGUGUUCUUAGGAUAUGCAACAAAUCAAAGGGCUUAUAGAUGCUUAGAUGUUAAGACUGGAGAGAUAAAAAUAAAUAGGGAUGUGGUGUUUAAUGACGGAUACUUCUCAUUUCUUGAUAUCCGAUCAAGAAAUCAGACCAAGCAGAUAGAGUCUAAAUCAAGGGGAUUUCUCACUUGUAGUGUAAAAAAUACCCCUGGUCAAAUAAGAUCAGGAGAUACAACUACAAGUUCAUCACUUGAAACUAGCAUGAGUCAGUCAUCGAGUAUCAACCCAUCUACAUCUGAAUAUUUAGAUGAGAAUUCUAGUCAAAUACAAACAAAUCCAGAGUUUAUAACCAGUCCUGAAAAUUCAAAGUCUACAACUCAAAAUUCAGUCAACACAAGCAAUAGGUUAGAGUCUAAUUCUACCACCAACACUUCGAAUAAAUCUAGUACUAUUCCUGAAAAUGAUAAUGCAAUAAUAAUGAAUAGAAAUAUCAAUAUACAGAACCCAAGAAGAUCAGAAAAAGUAAGGAUUACUUCCACUAAAUAUGAUAAUGAUUAUGAUUGCAAUAUUGUUUAUGAUACUAAUAUUUGUUGUGAGCCUAAGUCUUUUACAGAAGCUAUGAAACAUGAAUGUUGGAGAAAGGCCAUGAACGAAGAGCUAGAGGCAAUUAAAAACAACAACACAUGGAGUUUAGUUCCUAGAUGUGAAGGAAUGGAUAUUGUAGGCUCAAGAUGGAUGUAUAAGAUGAAAACUAAUUCAGAUGGUUCUAUCCAAAGGUACAAGGCAAGGUUGGUUGCACAAGGGUGCAACCAAGAAGAAGGUGUAGAUUACAGUUACACAUAUAGUCCAGUUAUUAAAACGUCAACAGUCAAAACAGUACUAUCUUUGGCAGUAACAAAUAAAUGGUGUUUAAGGCAACUUGAUGUCAAGAAUGCUUUCUUGAAUGGUGAGUUACAGGAAACAGUUUAUAUGAGACAGCCUAAGGGAUUCAAAGAUAAAGAAAGACCAGAGGAUGUUUGUUUAUUAAACAAGGCACUAUAUGGACUAAGCAAGUACCAAGGGCAUGAUAUCUCAAACUUCAACAAAAAUUGAUGGAGAUUGGGUUUAAAAAUUCAGUAGUUGAUGCAUCCUUAUUCAUCAAGAAAAGUGAGGAGUCUAUCAUAUUAGUAAUGAUUUAUGUGGAUGACAUUAUCAUCACGAGAAACUGUUUAGAAGAUGUUGAAGAUUUCAUCAUCCAAAAUCAUUCAACAAAAUCAUCCAAAGAAAAGUGAGUGGCUAUGAAAUACUCUCCAAUAUAUAUUAUUAAAAUAGAGCCCUCUAUUAAAAUAUUAAAAUCACAUAUGAUAGAGUCUACCUCACCGCUUAUCUCUGCUGAGAAUGUCCGUUGCUUCUUCCUACGACGACUACAGUCCCAACAACUUGUUCUAACAUCUUACAGUUCAUACAAAGACAAAGAUCGAAAAAGAAGUUGAUCCUAAAACAAACAUGACGGAGGAUCGGGAUGAAGAGAAGGUUCCAUCGUUUGUAAAAUAUUCUCCAAACUAUUGAAAUCACUGCUGUCUGCCGCAUAUCUCUAAACCCUAAUAUCAAAUAUCUGAACACCACUUAUAAAGAAAGCUUCACGAUGGUCAGAUCUUUGGUUUCAUUCUUAACCGUUGAGAUUAAAAUCCAAUUUCAGGUAACCCACUGGGUCAAAAUGCUGCCCGAUGGAUAAAUCAACCCAACAACAAAUAUAUAAACAACUGAAAUCUAGCGUAAUGUCUCAUUCUACUUUUUCAUUCCGUAAGAGUUACUUUUUCUCCUCUUUGAUUCUGUUAUUGCUGUUCUUGCUUAUUGGAUUGCAUUCCAGAUUUUCUUCUGUAAAUUCUAAUCUGGUAAUUUCUUUUAAUUUUCAGAUGAAUCGAUCAUGUUCGUUGCGUGUAGAUCUAUCUCACAGUUUGAUUGUAGAUUAGAUAAUGUGUAUUUCUGUAAAUGUCAUAAUCAUUCUUGAAUUACUCUUGUCAAUUUUCAAUUUGUCAAUUUUCUUUAGAUUCCUGUCAUUUCCAAUUUCACUUUGUUAACCUGAAUUUCAUUCCAUAAAUCUUUGUUAAUUUCUUUUCAAUCAAUUAUAUCUCUGUCCUGUUCAUAAUAACUUUGUAUUGAAUCAAUUCAAUCAAAUCAAAAUUCUAUGUUAAACAAUCAUGUUAAUCCUAAUUUAAUAUCAUUGUGGUAAUUCUUUCUAUACAAAAUUGAAACUCUUAGUUUCUUCACAAAUCCGACCUACUAUGUUACAGAAGCCUCUGUCGACGCAUGAUGGGUUGAUGGAGAGACACCUUUUCCGUCC
rnacentral:lncRNA from 1 species